rnacentral:rRNA from 1 species
GACGAACGCUGGCGGCGUGCCUAAUACAUGCAAGUUGAGCGCUGAAGGUUGGUACUUGUACCAACUGGAUGAGCAGCGAACGGGUGAGUAACGCGUGGGGAAUCUGCCUUUGAGCGGGGGACAACAUUUGGAAACGAAUGCUAAUACCGCAUAAAAACUUUAAACACAAGUUUUAAGUUUGAAAGAUGCAGUUGCAUCACUCAAAGAUGAUCCCGCGUUGUAUUAGCUAGUUGGUGAGGUAAAGGCUCACCAAGGCGAUGAUACAUAGCCGACCUGAGAGGGUGAUCGGCCACAUUGGGACUGAGACACGGCCCAAACUCCUACGGGAGGCAGCAGUAGGGAAUCUUCGGCAAUGGACGAAAGUCUGACCGAGCAACGCCGCGUGAGUGAAGAAGGUUGUCGGAUCGUAAAACUCUGUUGGUAGAGAAGAACGUUGGUGAGAGUGGAAAGCUCAUCAAGUGACGGUAACUACCCAGAAAGGGACGGCUAACUACGUG